rnacentral:rRNA from 1 species
CGAAUCUCAGUUCGGAUUGAAGGCUGAAAUUCGCCUUCAUGAAGCCGGAAUUGCUAGUAAUGGCAGGUCAGCAUACUGCCGUGAAUACGUUCCCGGGUCUUGUACACACCGCCCGUCACACCAUGGGAGUCGGAAAUGCCCGAAGUCUGUGACCCAACCGUAAGGAGGGAGCAGCCGAAGGCAGGUCGGAUGACUGGGGUGAAGUCGUAACAAGGUAAC